AUCUGGGCGUGCCUGGGGUCGUUCAAGCCUGUUGUGAAAGACCCCCGAAGGGAGCCCCCCACUCAAGUCUCGGGAAAGACGCGCACCCAGUAGGACACAGACACCG
rnacentral:pre_miRNA from 14 species